rnacentral:sRNA from 1 species
CGUUAAGGGCGCGUUAAUGAUUCCAAAGUAUGAAUGGCAUCAUCCAGUUUGUCUGGAUGUCGAGUGGCUCCUGCCCACUCUGUUUGACGCCUCCCUGUUGACCUUCGAGCCGCCCUUGGCGGCUCUUUUUUU